rnacentral:rRNA from 1 species
ACAUGAGGAUGUCUAUGACAACCGCCUCUUCUAAACAUGAUCUCAAGGGGGCAAGACAACCCGCUAGACUUAAGCAUAUUAAUCAGCGGAGGAAAAGAAACUAACAAGGAUUCCCCUAGUAACUGCGAGUGAAGAGGGAUUAGCUCAAUGUGUGAAUCGGGCCAGGAUUAGCACUUGGCUCGAGUUGUGCACUAUAGACGGCGGAUCAGCGCUUGAAAGAUCGAGUCGGAUGUCCGAUGAAACUCGGUGCCAUUGAGGGUCAUAGUCCUGUACUUGGCUCGUCAUCUUUUGCGCAUUUGACCGACGUUCUGCGAGUCGCGUAGUUUUGUAUUGCUGCGCUAAUCGGGAGGUAGAGCCCUUCUAAAGCUAAAUAUGAUGACGUGACCGAUAGCACACAAGUACCGCGAGGGAAAGGUGAAAAGCAACCAUGCAGAAUGGGUUGAAACAGAAGUGAAAGCGCUACUGGGAUAAGGGCUGGGGAUUGCUUGUGUCGCUUGCGCGUGCUUCAGUGCUGUGCUUGUGAACGGCAUGCUUCAAUUGGGAUGGGGAGAACAGGGCCUUGGGAAUUCGGCUGGAUCCGUCCAGUGUUGUAGCCCAGGUGCCAAUGGAGCCCCUUCGGAUUGUUGAGUGUCUUGCGAUUGUCAGCCGCCCGUCUUGAAACACGGACC